rnacentral:rRNA from 1 species
GACGAACGCUGGCGGCGUGCCUAAUACAUGCAAGUAGAACGCUGAAGGAGGAGCUUGCUUCUCUGGAUGAGUUGCGAACGGGUGAGUAACGCGUAGGUAACCUGCCUGGUAGCGGGGGAUAACUAUUGGAAACGAUAGCUAAUACCGCAUAAUAGUAGAUGUUGCAUGACAUUUGCUUAAAAGGUGCAAUUGCAUCACUACCAGAUGGACCUGCGUUGUAUUAGCUAGUUGGUGGGGUAACGGCUCACCAAGGCGACGAUACAUAGCCGACCUGAGAGGGUGAUCGGCCACACUGGGACUGAGACACGGCCCAGACUACUACGGGAGGCAGCAGUAGGGAAUCUUCGGCAAUGGACGGAAGUCUGACCGAGCAACGCCGCGUGAGUGAAGAAGGUUGUCGGAUCGUAAAGCUCUGUUGUAAGAGAAGAACGAGUGUGAGAGUGGAAAGUUCACACUGUGACGGUAUCUUAACAGAAAGGGACGGCUAACUACGUG